AAGGAGUUAGGUUAAUAAUAGACCUUUAGCCUUCAAAGCUGAAAGCGGAAUGUUUAUUCCAGUCCUUA
rnacentral:tRNA from 1 species